rnacentral:rRNA from 1 species
UGGGGAAUAUUGCACAAUGGGGGAAACCCUGAUGCAGCCAUGCCGCGUGUGUGAAGAAGGCCUUCGGGUUGUAAAGCACUUUCAGCGAGGAGGAAAGGUUGAUGCCUAAUACGCAUCAGCUGUGACGUUACUCGCAGAAGAAGCACCGGCUAACUCCGUGCCAGCAGCCGCGGUAAUACGGAGGGUGCAAGCGUUAAUCGGAAUUACUGGGCGUAAAGCGCACGCAGGCGGUCUGUUAAGUCAGAUGUGAAAUCCCCGGGCUCAACCUGGGAACUGCAUUUGAAACUGGCAGGCUUGAGUCUUGUAGAGGGGGGUAGAAUUCCAGGUGUAGCGGUGAAAUGCGUAGAGAUCUGGAGGAAUACCGGUGGCGAAGGCGGCCCCCUGGACAAAGACUGACGCUCAGGUGCGAAAGCGUGGGGAGCAAACA